rnacentral:lncRNA from 1 species
GAAGAACCAGGCCAAGCUCUUCUAGGAAGAAAAACGAAUAGGAAAUGAAUGACUUUGCUGGACCACACACAGUGAACCACAGGUUGAAGAGCAAAGGAGCCAACCAAUCAUGGACUAAAACCUCAGCAACUGUUGUCUCCCUGAUGUGCUACAGUGAUAGCAAAUGACUACGACAGAAUAGUUGGAAGGUGCUUCAGCAAACCUCGUUUGGGA